rnacentral:rRNA from 1 species
CCCUUAGAUGUUCUGGGCCGCACGCGUGCUACACUGAGUGGAUCAGCGGGUCAGGUUGCGCGAAAGUGUUUCCUAAUCUUGAAAUCCGCUCGUGAUGGGGAUUGACGGUUGCAAUUUUCCGUCAUGAACGAGGAAUACCUUGUAAGCGCGGGUCAUCAUCCCGCGCUGAAUACGUCCCUGCCCUUUGUACACACCGCCCGUCGCUCCUACCGAUUGAGCGGUCCGGUGAGGCUUUGGGAUCUGAGCAAAAAGAGCGUUUCGCUCGUUUGGCUCGGAAAACUCAGUCGAACCUUAUCAUUUAGAGGAAGGAGAAGUCGUAACA